AUUGAACGCUGGCGGCAGGCCUAACACAUGCAAGUCGAGCGGAUGACGGGAGCUUGCUCCUUGAUUCAGCGGCGGACGGGUGAGUAAUGCCUAGGAAUCUGCCUGGUAGUGGGGGACAACGUUUCGAAAGGAACGCUAAUACCUCAUACGUCCUACGCGAGAAAGCAGGGGACCUUCGGGCCUUGCGCUAUCAGAUGAGCCUAGGUCGGAUUAGCUAGUAGGUGAGGUAAUGGCUAACCUAGGCGACGAUCCGUAACUGGUCUGAGAGGAUGAUCAGUCACACUGGAACUGAGACACGGUCCAGACUCCUACGGGAGGCAGCAGUGGGGAAUAUUGGACAAUGGGCGAAAGCCUGAUCCAGCCAUGCCGCGUGUGUGAAGAAGGUCUUCGGAUUGUAAAGCACUUUAAGUUGGGAGGAAGGGCAGUAAGCUAAUACCUUGCUGUUUUGACGUUACCGACAGAAUAAGCACCGGCUAACUCUGUGCCAGCCGCCGCAGUAACAC
rnacentral:rRNA from 1 species